rnacentral:rRNA from 1 species
CAGCAGCCGCGGUAAUACGUAGGGUGCGAGCGUUGUCCGGAAUUACUGGGCGUAAAGGGCUCGUAGGUGGUUUGUCGCGUCGUCUGUGAAACUCCGGGGCUUAACUCCGGGCGUGCAGGCGAUACGGGCAUAACUUGAGUACUGUAGGGGUAACUGGAAUUCCUGGUGUAGCGGUGAAAUGCGCAGAUAUCAGGAGGAACACCGAUGGCGAAGGCAGGUUACUGGGCAGUUACUGACGCUGAGGAGCGAAAGCAUGGGUAGCGAACAGGAUUAGAUACCCCAGUAGUCCCUGUCUCUUAUA